rnacentral:ncRNA from 1 species
AAAUAGUCCCUUCGUACGAAAGGAGUUGGGAAUGUUGACCUAUGGUUUACCUGUUGUUUAAUAUUGUUUAUAACUAAUUUACUAUCACUAAAGUAAAAAUUAUGAAUAUACACCUUAUUCAGGAAUGAUAUUGUGUAUAUGAUUGCUUAUUAAGCAUGGCAGGAAAGCUAAGUCAAUUAUAGAUAAGUGCUGAAAGCAUUUAAGCGCGAAGCUUAU